rnacentral:rRNA from 1 species
UACGAAGGGUGCAAGCGUUACUCGGAAUUACUGGGCGUAAAGCGUGCGUAGGUGGUUUGUUAAGUCUGCUGUGAAAGCCCCGGGCUCAACCUGGGAAUGGCAGUGGAUACUGGCAAGCUAGAGUGCGGUAGGGGGUAGUGGAAUUCCCGGUGUAGCGGUGAAAUGCGUAGAGAUCGGGAGGAACACCAAUGGCGAAGGCAGCUCGCUGGGACGGUACUGACGCUGAGACGCGAAAGCGUGGGGAGCAAACAGG